GACGGGCGAGUACUCCAGCGAUUAGCCAAUCCGUGAGGACUCCGGUUCGCCCUGACUCCAGACCAGCCGGCGGGAACUGGGGCGCCGCUCUAUUCCGCCCGAGUUCGGAAUUGGUAAAAGGACGGGCGGGAGCCGCAGCGGAAGCGCGUUUCCGCGGUGCGCCGAGCCUUGCGGAUCCCCGAGGAUGCGCGCCCUGCCAACCCUGGACGCGCCCCCAAACGAGCGGCUCCUGUUCCGGGACCUCGAGGCCCCCAGGGCCCGGGAUGCGGCGGAGCCGGCGCGCAGGAGUGCUGUGGAGAGGCUGGCAGCCGACCGUGCCAAGUACGUGCGGGGUGCGCCGGGGGCGGGCCCAGGCCCGAUUGGCGAGGGCAACAGCCCCGAGGCGGUCGAAGGACAGACGGGCGACCCUCGGCCCCCGGCCCGAGUCUCCGGGCCCGUGGCGCGCAGGGCCAUAGCGCGGAAGCCGCUGAGGCCAGACUCGCUGGUCAUCUACCGGCAGAAAUGUGAGUUCGUCCGAGGGCAGGGAGCCGACGGCCCUAGGGGGAGCCUGGUGAAGAAGCUCUUCCAGGGGCCGGUCAAGGACAAGACGGCCCCCGGCGUGUCCCGCGUGGGAGAGGAGGGCAGGGCCGAGGAGGCUGCCCGGACUGAGCCCGGCCGCGUAGUGGCUCCCGCAGUCCCAGGGCCCCCGGCGCUCCCGGAGCCCGCCCCGCCUGUCGCGGCGGCCCCCAGGGUCCCGGCUGCGCCCCGGGACCCAGAGCUCGAGGGGCCUCGCCCCGGGACCCUGCGAGGAGCGAGGCGCCGGGGACUGCAGCGCUCGCAGUCCGACCUCAGCUCCCGCUACUCCGCAUCCUUGGCCGAGUUCGACACCUUCUUCCAGUACUGCGGCUUGGAGCCCGAGGUGGUGGAGGCGCUGGGGAGGGAGAACUUCUCCGCGGCGUCGGAUCGCGUCGCCCUCAAGGUCCGCAGCGUGAGCGUCGCCACCUCCGAUAGCGGCUUCUCCCGGCACAGCGGCGGCGACGAGGGGCUGCAGGAGGACGAGCUGACGGAGCAGGGGUCCGGCACCACCUCCGUGGUGGAGAGGAACGCUCGUAUCAUCAAGUGGCUGUACACCUGUAAGAAGGCCAGAGAGGCCCCGGGCCAGGGGCUGCAGGGCCCGGCGUGACCCCUGCGCCUUGGUGACACCUGGCCCCAGGUGCGCUUCCAGGAAGCCCGGGAGGGGUGUCUAUGAGGGCUCGGAAGCAAGUCUUCCCGACCUCGGGGGCUCCUUGAAGCGGGUCUGGAUGACUGGGCGUCCAGGGCCGCCCUCACUGCCGGGCUUGGUCUGAUGUACCCAGGUGUCCGUAUGCUCAUCGUUUUCCCAGGAAUAAAGCACACCAGCGAAGAAGCUUAAGGAAUUUUGGAAAAAGCUGGAAAUGCAACAGAGCAGAUGGGAACACCGAACUUGGAAAUUAGCUGGGUUAUAACUGUUGACACAGCUGAGGCUCUGGAAGAUAUUUUCUUGUGCAGGGUGGCCUAGCCUUGCUUCCAGAGGGGAGCAGAAAAGGGGAAAGCUGCCUCAAAAUAUUUUCUCGGGCAUCUUUUUGAGUAGCUUGCUGACAAAGAGGUGCCAUGAUACAUUUUAAAAAUAUCUAAAUUAAUUUUAAAAAAACAAAGAGCAUGAAACUGAAGCAUGAAUGCCAUGGUAUAAGCCUCCGUGUGGACAGAACAUGGACUCAGGAUGUGGGGCAUGUGCCCUGGCCUUCAAUCUAAUUCACUCCCUGCCUAUCACACAGUCAUCCCAAAUGGGUCACCAGUUCACCCUUUGUGGAAAAAGGGUGUUUGAGACCAGGGGGUAGCCUCUGGGUGGCUGGGAGACUCGAGGACCAGAAUGUUGUCAGUCAGGUGUUCCUGGAACCUAAAUCUGAACUGGCUCAUGACACUCAGGGUAAAGAGAUUUCAGAUUCAGAAACUUCUGAGAGAAAUUUUCUAUCAAUGAUGAAAUCCCAAGGAAAAUUUAUGACCCAGAGCUUGCAAUGUUUUAUCAAAAUAUGCCUCUUCGAGAAUAAAAUUAUUAGAAGAAUAGGGAGGGAAGAGAAAUUGCUUUCUCAAUAGUAAAAUAUCCUAAAAACCAAUCUAUUUUGAUAUAGCCAUGUAUUUGUUUAAUAUUGCAUUUUUGUAAUUUUUACUGUGAGACUUGGCCCUCGAGUUACUUAAAUAUUUAUUUUUACAUAGCUAUUGGUCUUAAAUAGUAAUCCUACACUUCAUAUGGUUUUAGUUUUAAUCAGUAUAAUUUUAGAGCAUUCUCUCCUUGGUUCUCUUUUUGUAUAUGUUGUUGAACUGACUUUUCAACUGUUGACUGUAAGCAGAGUGUUCAGUACUCUGAAGUGCUCCGUAGCCUAGGGACUGGCUUUAAAUAACUUCACAGGAGGCAUUCUGAGAGGCUCUAUUGGCUGACGGAUGUACCUCUCUCCGCGUAGACUCUUUACACAGGCGAAGAUUUCCUGCUCUAAGAAAACUGUCCCCGUUGUUCCCCUAGGAAUGCUGCUGUUUUGCUGUUCACUGGGUUGCACUUAGUUGGAAAGAGUGUCAAGGAUGACGGUGUUUUCUCAGGAGGUUUUCAUAGAUGCAGUGUUCCCUUACUGGCAGUUCCACGGAUUUUGUGUGUGAACCUUGGAAGUAAAACUGUUAUGUGCCUUUCUAUUGUCAGAAGAGGAUGGACUGAAACCUCAGUCAGAUUUAUCUAAGGUCAAAAUGCUGCAGGCUCAACCAUACCUAAUACAUAAAAAAAUGUAAAAACGAAUUGGCUACUGUUUAAAAGCACCAAGAUCAUCCAGAAGCAUUUGUGCCUCUGUGGAGGGGACUGCUGAGAGGAGAUGUCAGAAGUGGGUGUGAAGCAGGAGCAGGGUGUCCCUGGACUCCGACAGGAUUGGGUUAACACUCCCUCUGGUCCAUUCAGAGUCACACUUCAGCAUCAGGGCUCAGUGUGUGCUUGGAGGCGAGAAGUCGUCUCCUAAUUCUGAAUUUUCCCAAUUUGCUGAGUGGCUUGGAGCAAAUGAAACCUGACAGCUGAGUCUGAAUCAAAGAGCUUGUCAUGGAUGUUCACAAGGGCGCGCAGUCGUUGCUGCUGCAAAAUGGUUUUAUUUGUUCAUGAAAGAACAGCAUAUGAAAUAAUAUGAUUAAACACCAAGGAAAGGAAAAAGUACUGAUAAGGAAAACAGCUGGACGGUGUCUGUGUCACUCAUAUAUGGGUAGAGGUAAGCAAUGCCUCGGACCAAAAGGUAUUCACGUAACUGGAAGAGUCCUCAUAACGUACCCGUGCAGGUAGUUUUUAACUCUUGGUCACUGACACUGGGAUCAAACGUUGCCCUUUUCAGUGGGUUAAAAGUACAGUCCUAUAGUUAUAGUUUGUGAGGCCAGACAGUUAUUAUGGCAGUUUCUAAACAGAGGUGUUUUUUUUUUUUUCCCUACACACUACUUGCAACAGAAGUGCAAUACUGCAUAUUCUGUAUUAAAAAAAUAAAGUCUUAUCAUUAAAAUUACUUUAUGAAUUUGUACAAUGUGAAAAAUUGAAGCCAGAGUAUGUUUAUUAUACUUACUCAUAUCUUUUGUGUUCACUCUUUCUUCCUAAUAUCGUCUUAAUCGAUUACCAGUAGGAAUGAGGAAAAUAUCCCAAAACUUGACCCAGGCAAGUCAUGUGGCAUCCAGAGUCUUCUAGAUGGAGAUGGAAUAUGCAAUAAAAACAAUUUGAACAUUUA